GUAAUCACCAUCGCAGCCAUUCUUCAUCGUUAUCUUCUUCUUCAUAUUAACCAUCUCACGUCAUGUUCACGUUCUUCUCUCAUCAUGUUGACCCAAGGCAGAGCCGGAGAUUCCUUACCGCGCCGGAGCCGUCACGUUCAUCACAACUAGCCACAGAUUUGCACCGCCAUGAUCCGCUUGCUGCCGUAGUUGUCAUAAACCACCGUCAGGAUCCAAGCUAGAGAGAUCGUGAUCUCACACCUGCUUGCUCCACUGUCGCUACUCACCCCCGAUCACCAACCGUUACCAUCAGAUACAUGGCUAAGGAGUGGUUUUGCGAGAGGUUUCUAGUACGGUGCAGGGGAUUCUAGGGUGUGCGCCAUGGCUCUUGGGAUAGAUCUCGUUUCCAGGAAUCUGUAGAAGCAAACAGAAUCUAGAUCAGAGUUGUGAAGCAAAAGUUAUUGCUGUUGCUUCUUGGGCAAGAAUAAGCUUAAGCUGUUGCGCUGCAGAGACAGUUCCGACCAGUCUCAGCGUAAAGGUGAAAUGGUCAGCCUAAUCAAAAUAUUUCAGUCUGGAAUUUUGUCAGUAAGUAUUUAACUCUUUUAUCUAUCAUCUCCAAGAAGCGGAUUGUCAUUCCAAGUUAUUUUCUGAGAGUUAAGCUUGUUUUCGUGAGAGGUGUUGGUGCAGUCUACGUUUGCGACCAG
rnacentral:lncRNA from 1 species